GGUGGGGCAGUACACCCACCAAACCAUAAGGCAGGUCUCUAAGGCAAGCUCAGGGAAGAUUGAAGCCUCCUGUGGUGAAGGGCAAAAGCUUGCUUGAUCUUGACUUUCAGUACAAAUACAGACUGUAAAAACAGGGCCUCAUUAUCCUUCUGACUUUUUGGGUUUUACCCAAAACCCCAAUCAUCCCUAACUCAUAUUAAGUUUAUGCCUGUAAAUUGUAAUUGUUAUUUUUCAGCAAGAG
rnacentral:ncRNA from 1 species